rnacentral:misc_RNA from 1 species
CUCAUUUUCACCUUGUACAUCAGCUUAGCUUCAGCUGCAACUGUUCCAAUUGUUCCAUAUCUUGAUGAUCUACUGGAAAAUGGCGAUUUCGAAGAAGGGCCAAAGGCAUCAGAACUAAAGAAAACAGUGAUCAUUGGCAAAUACUCAUUGCCUGAAUGGGAAAUCAGUGGUGUAGUUGAGUGGGUAUCAGGUGGGCCCCAGGAAGGAGGGUUUUACUUUCCGAUCCCUCGUGGGGCCCACGCGAUCCGACUUGGGAAUGAGGCUUCCAUCUCUCAGUAUGUAGAGGUGAAGCCAAACACUAUAUAUUCACUCACAUUUGGAGCCACUAGGACUUGUGCUCAAGAUGAGGUCCUUACCGUCUCCGCGGGAGACAUGUCUAGUGAUCUUCCUAUUCAGACAUUGUACAGUGCUGAUGGUGGUGACACUUAUGCUUGGGCUUUCAAAACAACAUCUAAUUAUGUUGAGGUCAAAUUUCACAAUCCUGGUAUGCAAGAAGAUCCAGCUUGUGGACCACUUCUAGACCAUAUUGCAAUCAAGGAAUUGCCUAUGGCUACAUAUACUAAAGGUAACUUGGUGAAAAAUGGUGGAUUUGAAGCUGGUCCGCACGUAUUCAAGAACUUCUCGACAGGGGUGCUUGUCCUACCUCUGAAACAAGACAAGUACUCACCAAUUCCAGGAUGGAUGGUUCAGUUUGCAAAACCAGCAAAAUACAUCGACUCGAAGCAUUUCUUAGUACCUUCAGGAAAUGCAGCUGUUGAAUUAAUAGGAGGAAGGGAAACAGGCAUUGCACAGACAGUAAGGACAGUCCCUAAACAAUUCUACAACCUGACUUUCAUCAUUGGCGAUGCAAACAAUGACUGCCACGGAACAAUGACAGUUCAAGCAUUCGCUGGCAAGGCUAGUACACAAGUUUCAUUUGUAUCAAGUGGAAAGGGAUGGUACAAGACAGCAAGCCUCAAGUUCCAAGCAGAUAAAACUAGGACAACAAUAGCUUUUUAUAACCCAUUCUAUCACACAAAGGUACACGACUUUGGUCACAUGUGUGGACCUGUCAUCGAUGAUGUUAGUCUCGUUCAUGUCAAGAAGUGAGCAUUACUCAGAUAAGAUCAAUUUCAAAACAAGUUCUGUACCAUUGUUUUUGUUUUUGUUUAAGUUGUUCAGUCCGAAACAAGAAUGAUAUAUCCAAUAAAAG